GUAGCGGUGAAAUUCCAAUCGAGCCCGGAGAUAGCUGGUUCUCCCCGAAAUAGCUUUAGGGCUAGCCUCAAGGUGAGAGAUACGGAGGUAGAGCACUGAAUAUCCUAGGGGGUAUUGCACCUACCGAAGACUAUCAAACUCCGAAUGCCGUCAUCUUAUACUUGGGAGUCAGACUGUGGGUGAUAAGAUUCAUAGUCGAAAGGGCA
rnacentral:rRNA from 1 species